GCGACUAUAGUGUAGCGGUUAUCAUCCCAGCCUUCCAAGCUGGGGACAGGGGUUCGACUCCCCUUGGUCGCA